GACGAACGCUGGCGGCGUGCUUAACACGUGCAAGUCGUACGGUAAGGCCCUUUCGGGGGUACACGAGUGGCGAACGGGUGAGUAACACGUGAGUAACCUGCCCACAACUUUGGGAUAACGCUAGGAAACUGGUGCUAAUACUGGAUAUGUGCUCCUGCUGCAUGGUGGGGGUUGGAAAGCUCCGGCGGUUGUGGAUGGACUCGCGGCCUAUCAGCUUGUUGGUGGGGUAGUGGCCUACCAAGGCGGCGACGGGUAGCCGGCCUGAGAGGGUGACCGGCCACAUUGGGACUGAGAUACGGCCCAGACUCCUACGGGAGGCAGCAAUGGGGAAUAUUGCACAAUGGGCGCAAGCCUGAUGCAGCAACGCCGCGUGCGGGAUGACGGCCUUCGGGUUGUAAACCGCUUUCAGCAGGGACGAAGCUUUUUGUGACGGUACCUGCAGAAGAAGCACCGGCUAACUACGUG
rnacentral:rRNA from 1 species